UUUUCUAGGGCUGCUUCCCACGGCAUAUGGAGGUUCCCAGGCUAGGGGUCUAAUUGGAGCUGUAGCCGCUGGCCUACGCCAGAGCCAUAGCAACGCAGGAUCCGAGCUGCAUGGGCGACCUACACCACAGCUCACGGCAACACCAGAUCCUUAACCCACUGAGCAAGGUCAGGGACCGAACCUCCAACCUCAUGGUUCCUAGUCGGAUUCGUUAACCACUGUGCCACGAUGGGAACUCCGUAAAAAUUUAUUUUUGAUCAUACUCUGGCCCACUUGUUAUAGCAUCCACUGAUGAUUCCUGUCCAAAGGCACUGGAUUAGAUUCCUUCUGAAAUCCCAUUCAACUCAAACAUCCUAUCCCAUGAUUCUAACAAUUUAAAUUAAGGAUUUCACCUUAAUCUGGUUAAACUUGGAAAUUUUGGACAGCAAGACUACAUGGAGGAAGUAGUUUACAUAAACACUCCACUGAUGAAAAUUUCACAACACUGAAACAUUUAAGGAUGUUCUUUAGCUAAGCAAGCAAACCUGAAAUAUAAGGAGACUUACAUACAAAUUCGUUCUACAGUCUCUCUUACGUAAAUUUAUGGUGGGACAUUAAUAAGUGUACAGGAAAAAACAAUCAUAUGAUUCUCCAUAGAUGAAGAAAAUGUCUUUGACAGAACUCAAGACCUACUAAUUAAAAACUCUUGAGAAAAUUAGACACAACUAGAGAUUCUCAUAUUAAGUGAAGUAAAUCAAAAAGAGAAAAAUAGGAGUUUCCAUUGUGGUGCAGCAGAAUAAAAUCCUACUAGUAUCCAUGAGGAUGUGGUUUCAAUCCCUGGCUUCGAUCAGUGGGCUGGGGAUCCGGCAUUGCCAUGAGCGGUGGUGGAGGUAGCAAACUCGGCUGGGAUCCCACAUUGCUGUGGCUGUGGUGUUGGCCAGCAGCUAUAGCUCUGAAGCAACCCCUAGCCUGGGAAUUUCCAUAUGCCAAGGGUGCAGCCCUAAAAAGCAAAAAGAUAGAAAGACAAAUACCAUGUGCUAUCACUUUCAUGUGAAAUCUAAUAUAUGGCACAAAUCGAUCUAUCUACAGAACAGAAAUAGACUCACAGACACAGAGAACAGACUUGUGGUUGCCGAGGGGGAAGGGGAAGGAGUGCAAUGUACUGGGAAUUUGAGGUUAGUAGAUGCAAAUUAUUACAUUUAGAAUAGAUAAACAAUGCGUUCCUGCUCUAUAGCACAGAGAACU
rnacentral:lncRNA from 1 species